GCGAGGGUAGCUCAGUUGGAUAGAGCAACAGACUACGAAUCUGUAGGUCGGAGGUUCGAUUCCUCUCCCUCGCACCA
rnacentral:tRNA from 1 species